rnacentral:tRNA from 1 species
AGCGGGUUGAUGUAAUAGUAACAUAUUUGGCUCAUGACCAGAGUAUAGAGGUUCAAUUCCUUUGUCCGCUU